AAGGUAGCGAAAUUCCUUGUCGGGUAAGUUCCGACCUGCACGAAUGGCGUAACGAUGGCGGCGCUGUCUCCACCCGAGACUCAGUGAAAUUGAAAUCGCUGUGAAGAUGCAGUGUAUCCGCGGCUAGACGGAAAGACCCCGUGAACCUUUACUAUAGCUUUGCACUGGACUUUGAAUUUGCUUGUGUAGGAUAGGUGGGAGGCUUUGAAGCGUGGACGCCAGUCUGCGUGGAGCCAUCCUUGAAAUACCACCCUGGCAACUUUGAGGUUCUAACUCAGGUCCGUCAUCCGGAUCGAGGACAGUGUAUGGUGGGUAGUUUGACUGGGGCGGUCUCCUCCUAAAGAGUAACGGAGGAGUACGAAGGUGCGCUCAGACCGGUCGGAAAUCGGUCGUAGAGUAUAAAGGCAAAAGCGCGCUUGACUGCGAGACAGACACGUCGAGCAGGUACGAAAGUAGGUCUUAGUGAUCCGGUGGUUCUGUAUGGAAGGGCCAUCGCUCAACGGAUAAAAGGUACUCCGGGGAUAACAGGCUGAUACCGCCCAAGAGUUCAUAUCGACGGCGGUGUUUGGCACCUCGAUGUCGGCUCAUCACAUCCUGGGGCUGAAGCCGGUCCCAAGGGUAUGGCUGUUCGCCAUUUAAAGUGGUACGCGAGCUGGGUUUAGAACGUCGUGAGACAGUUCGGUCCCUAUCUGCCGUGGACGUUUGAGAUUUGAGAGGGGCUGCUCCUAGUACGAGAGGACCGGAGUGGACGAACCUCUGGUGUUCCGGUUGUCACGCCAGUGGCAUUGCCGGGUAGCUAUGUUCGGAAAAGAUAACCGCUGAAAGCAUCUAAGCGGGAAACUUGCCUCAAGAUGAGAUCUCACUGGAGCCUUGAGCUCCCUGAAGGGCCGUCGAAGACUACGACGUUGAUAGGCAGGGUGUGUAAGCGCUGUGAGGCGUUGAGCUAACCUGUACUAAUUGCCCGUGAGGCUUGACCAUAUAACACCCAAGCAAUU
rnacentral:rRNA from 1 species